UAACGGCGUCGAGCGGCGGACGGGUGAGUAAUGCCUGGGAAAUUGCCCUGAUGUGGGGGAUAACCAUUGGAAACGAUGGCUAAUACCGCAUAAUGCCUUCGGGCCAAAGAGGGGGACCUUCGGGCCUCUCGCGUCAGGAUAUGCCCAGGUGGGAUUAGCUAGUUGGUGAGGUAAUGGCUCACCAAGGCGACGAUCCCUAGCUGGUCUGAGAGGAUGAUCAGCCACACUGGAACUGAGACACGGUCCAGACUCCUACGGGAGGCAGCAGUGGGGAAUAUUGCACAAUGGGCGCAAGCCUGAUGCAGCCAUGCCGCGUGUGUGAAGAAGGCCUUCGGGUUGUAAAGCACUUUCAGUCGUGAGGAAGGCGGGUACGUUAAUAGCGUAUUCGUUUGACGUUAGCGACAGAAGAAGCACCGGCUAACUCCGUGCCAGCAGCCGCGGUAAUACGGAGGGUGCGAGCGUUAAUCGGAAUUACUGGGCGUAAAGCGCAUGCAGGUGGUUCGUUAAGUCAGAUGUGAAAGCCCGGGGCUCAACCUCGGAACAGCAUUUGAAACUGGCGGACUAGAGUACUGUAGAGGGGGGUAGAAUUUCAGGUGUAACGUCGAUAUGCGUAGAGAUCUGAAGGAAUACC
rnacentral:rRNA from 1 species